UACGUAGGGUGCGAGCGUUAAUCGGAAUUACUGGGCGUAAAGCGUGCGCAGGCGGUUUUGCAAGCCGGAUGUGAAAUCCCCGGGCUUAACCUGGGAAUGGCAUUUGGGACUGCAAGGCUGGAGUGCGGCAGAGGAGACUGGAAUUUACGGUGUAGCAGUGAAAUGCGUAGAGAUGUGGAGGAAUACCGAUGGCGAAGGCAGCCCCCUGGGCCAAUACUGACGCUCAUGCACGAAAGCGUGGGGAGCAAACAGG
rnacentral:rRNA from 1 species